GGUGGUAUAGCUCGGUGGUAGAGCAUGUGCCUAGCAUGCACAAGGUCCUGGGUUCAAUCCCCAGUACUUCCA
rnacentral:tRNA from 1 species